UAACAAGGGUUUCCGUAGGUGAACCUGCGGAAGGAUCAUUAUCGAGUUUUGAAGUGGGCUUGAUGCUGGCGUUUCAAUCGGGACGCAUGUGCUCAGCCCCGCUCCAAAUCCACUUAACCCCUGUGCACUAUUCGGAGUUUGGCCAGGUGGCUGGCAUUCGGUCCCGAUUUGGUUCGGGACUGGGCUGACCGUACCCUGACCCUCCGUUCAUUUACAAACGCUUCAUUGUGUCUUGUCGAAUGUCUUAGCCGUUUAGGCGAAUUUAAAAUACAACUUUCAACAACGGAUCUCUUGGCUCUCGCAUCGAUGAAGAACGCAGCGAAAUGCGAUAAGUAAUGUGAAUUGCAGAAUUCAGUGAAUCAUCGAAUCUUUGAACGCACCUUGCGCUCCUUGGUAUUCCGAGGAGCAUGCCUGUUUGAGUGUCAUGUUAAUCUCAACCUCCCCGGCUUUUGUCGUGGGUCGGUUGGACUUGGAGGAUUUGUGCUGGCUGCAAAGUCGGCUCCUCUUGAAUGCAUUAGCUUGGACCUUCUACGCGUCUGCGGUGUGAUAGUUCUAUUCACCACGGGCUCGAAGGAAUUCGGUCUGCUUCCAACCGUCUUCGGACAAUUUCUAAUGACUCUGACCUCAAAUCAGGUGGGACUACCCGCUGAACUUAAGCAUAUCAAUAAGCGGAGGA
rnacentral:rRNA from 1 species